rnacentral:rRNA from 1 species
ACAUGCAGUCCAACGGCAGCACGGGAGCAUCCUGGUGGCGAGUGGCGAACGGGUGAGUAUACAUCGGAACGUGCCCUGUCGUGGGGGAUAACUAGUCGAAAGAUUAGCUAAUACCGCAUACGACCUGAGGGUGAAAGCGGGGGACCGUAAGGCCUCGCGCGAUAGGAGCGGCCGAUGUCUGAUUAGCUAGUUGGUGGGGUAAAGGCCCACCAAGGCGACGAUCAGUAGCUGGUCUGAGAGGACGAUCAGCCACACUGGGACUGAGACACGGCCCAGACUCCUACGGGAGGCAACAAUGGGGAAUUUUGGACAAUGGGGGCAACCCUGAUCCAGCAAUGCCGCGUGUGUGAAAAACGCCUUCGGGUUGUCAAGCACUUAUGUCCGGAAAGAAAUCCCUUGCCCUAAUACGGCGGGGGGAUGACGGUACCGGAAGAAUAAGCACCGGCUAGCUACGUGCCAGCAGCCGCGGUAAUACGUAUGGUGCGAGCGUGAGUCGGAAUUACUGGGCGUAAAGCGUGCGCAGGCGGUUUUGUAAGACAGGCGUGAAAUCCCCGAGCUCAACUUGGGAAUGGCGCUUGUGAC